GAUGAACGCUGGCGGCGUGCUUAACACAUGCAAGUCGAACGGGAAAUAUUUCAUUGUGACUUCGGUGGAUUUGAUUUAUUUCUAGUGGCGGACGGGUGAGUAACGCGUGGGUAACCUGCCUUAUACAGGGGGAUAACAGUCAGAAAUGGCUGCUAAUACCGCAUAAGCGCACAGAGCUGCAUGGCUCAGUGUGAAAAACUCGGGUGGUAUAAGAUGGACCCGCGUUGGAUUAGCUAGUUGGUGGGGUAACGGCCCACCAAGGCGACGUUCCAUAGCCGGGCUGAGAGGGUGAGCGGCGACAUUGGGACUGAGACACGGCCCAGACUCCUACGGGAGGCAGCAGUGGGGAAUAGUGCAAAAUGGGGGAAACCCUGAUGCAGCGACGCCGCGUGAAGGAAGAAGUAUGUCGGUAUGUAAACUUCUAUCAGCAGGGAAGAUAGUGACGGUACCUGACUAAGAAGCCCCGGCUAACUACGUG
rnacentral:rRNA from 1 species